rnacentral:rRNA from 1 species
AUACGAGAGGUGCAAGCGUUGUUCGGAAUGACUGGGCGUAAAGCGCACGUAGGCGGAUUCGCAAGUAGGAUGUGAAAGCCCUGGGCUCAACCCGGGAAUGGCAUUCUAAACUACGGAUCUUGAAUGCUUGAGAGGUUGGCGGAAUUCCUGGUGUAGGAGUGAAAUCCGUAGAUAUCAGGAGGAAUAUCGGAGGCGAAGGCGGCCAACUGGUGAUGCAUUGACGCUAAGGUGCGAAAGCGUGGGGAGC